AGGAAGAACCAUAGAGGCACGCCGGGUGCUGGGGAGGAGGGACCUGGGGAGUAAGACCAUAGAGAGGGACGCCUUUCCGCUCACCACCCAGGGAGUCUUGACUCCCCCACGGGGUGGGAGGAUGAAGGAAACCGAGGUACCCUUCCCGCCACCCUAGGAAGUGUCGCCAUCUCCCUAGAGAUGAAUAGGUCGGGGGUGGGGGUGGAGGUGGGCAGAAACAGGUGCCCGUGAAAAUCCGCUGGAUAUGCAUUCGUUUGCACCCCUUGCCUUUGGCAAGUCAUUCAUUCAAUACGUAUUUUCCGGAGAGGUUCCUGUCAGCCAGGCACUGUUCUAGGAAUUGGGGAUACAACGGUAUGGAGGGUCCCUGUUCUCCUGAAGCUUAUGUUUUAGCGGGCGGGGAUAUAGCUAGGGAACUCGCUAACUAGUAAACUAAUGAACUAAAACACUGGUUCGGGCAGAAAGUGUUCAGGGAAAGAAAAAAAAAAAAACACGCAUAGGAAAAAUAAAGCAGCGAAAGGGAUAGAGCGUGAUGUGAUGAGGAUACCGGUGUGGUCGGGGAGUCUUCUGAAGAGGGGACAUUUCAGCAGAAUACGGAAUGACGUAAGGAGGUGAGAGCGAUGGUGACCACCUGGAGGAAACACACUUCAAGCACAAGGGAGAUGCCUGGCGUGUUAGAAAAACAGCGAGCCUGCAGUGCGAUGUCACAGAGGAGCCCACACCUGCCCUGACACCGAACCACAAAACAGCAGAGCAGAAAAGGGAACAGCCUUUAACAAACCUCAGACUUUUGAGCAGUAUGGGAAUAUCACAAUUUUUGCCUAAGUGACCUAUUGCCUGUAAGUAAUAUUUUGUUCUUUAGACGGAUUCAUUUUUCAUCAAAAUAUAUUUUUUAAAUUUU